GAUGAACGCUGGCGGCGUGCCUAAUACAUGCAAGUCGAGCGAACGGACGGGAAGCUUGCUUUUCUGAUGUUAGCGGCGGACGGGUGAGUAACACGUGGAUGACCUACCUAUAAGACUGGGAUACCUUCAGGAAACCGGAUCUAAUACCGGAUAAUAUUUUGAACCUCAUGGUUCAAGAGUGAAAGACGGUCUUGCUGUCACUUAUAGAUGGAUACGCGCUGCAUUAGCUAGUUGGUAAGGUAACGGCUUACCAAGGCAACGAUGCAUAGACGACCUGAGAGGGUGAUCGGACACACUGGAACUGAGAAACGGUCCAGACUCCGACGGGAGGAAGCAGUAGGGAAUCCUACGCAAGGGGCGAAAGCGUGACGGAGCAAAGCCGCGUGAGUGAUGAAGGACUUCGGAUCGUAAAACUCUGUUAUUAGGGAAGAACAUAUGUGUAAGUAACUGUGAACAUCUUGACGGUACCGAAAGAGAAAGCCACGGCUAACUCCGUG
rnacentral:rRNA from 1 species